rnacentral:rRNA from 1 species
AACUGCGAGUGAAGCGGGAAAAGCUCAAAUUUAAAAUCUGGCGGUCUUUGGCCGUCCGAGUUGUAAUUUAGAGAAGCGUCUUCCGCGCUGGACCGUGCACAAGUCUCCUGGAAUGGAGCGUCAUAGAGGGUGAGAAUCCCGUCUUUGGCACGGAUGCCUGGUGCUUCUGUGAUGCGCUCUCGAAGAGUCGAGUUGUUUGGGAAUGCAGCUCAAAAUGGGUGGUGAACUCCAUCUAAAGCUAAAUAUUGGCGAGAGACCGAUAGCGAACAAGUACCGUGAGGGAAAGAUGAAAAGCACUUUGGAAAGAGAGUGAAACAGUACGUGAAAUUGUUGAAAGGGAAACGCUUGAAGUCAGUCGCGUCGACCGAGACUCAGCCUUGCCUUGGCUUGGUGUACUUCUCGGCCUGACGGGUCAGCAUCAAUUUUGCCCCUCAGAUAAUGGCAAGGGAAAGGUGGCACCUUUACGGGUGUGUUAUAGUCUCCUGUCGCAUGUGAGGGGUGAGAUUGAGGAACUCAGCGUGCACCUUGGUGUCGGGGCUUCG